rnacentral:rRNA from 1 species
AUUGACCGCUGGCGGCAGCCCUAACACAUGCAAGUCGAUCGCGCGGCGGACGGGUGCUUAAUGUCUUGUGCCUGCCCCAUAGCGGGGGCUAACUACUUGAAACGGUAGCUACUACCGCAUACUAUCGGAUAACCCAUAUGGGAUUAGCUAGUAGGUGAGGUACUGGCUCACCUAGGCGACGAUCCCUAGCUGGUCUGAGAGGAUGAUCAGCAACAAUGGGACUGAGACACGGCCCAGAUUCCGACGGAGGCAGCAGUGGGGAAUAUUGCAUAAUGGGCGCAAGCAUGAUGAAGCCAUGACGCGUGUCGGAAGAAGGAGAUGGGGAUAAAAAGUACAGUGUUUGGGGAUGCGUUACCGACAGAAGAAGUGCCGGCUUACUCGGUGGCAGCAGCCGCGGUAAUUC